rnacentral:rRNA from 1 species
CCAUGCCGAACUCGGCAGUGAAACCGCUCAGCGCCGAGGGUAGUGUGGGGACUCCCCAUGCGAGACUAGGUCAUCGUCAGGC